rnacentral:rRNA from 1 species
AGUGAACGCUGGCGGUAGGCCUAACACAUGCAAGUCGAACGGCCGCACAGUAAGAGCUUGCUCUUACGGGUGGCGAGUGGCGGACGGGUGAGGAAUACAUCGGAUUCUACUUUUUCGUGGGGGAUAACGUAGGGAAACUUACGCUAAUACCGCAUACGACCUACGGGUGAAAGCAGGGGAUCUUCGGACCUUGCGCGAUUGAAUGAGCCGAUGUCGGAUUAGCUAGUUGGCGGGGUAAAGGCCCACCAAGGCGACGAUCCGUAGCUGGCCUGAGAGGAUGAUCAGCCACACUGGAACUGAGACACGGUCCAGACUCCUACGGGAGGCAGCAGUGGGGAAUAUUGGGCAAUGGGCGCAAGCCUGAUCCAGCCAUACCGCGUGGGUGAAGAAGGCCUUCGGGUUGUAAAGCCCUUUUGUUGGGAAAGAGAAGCAGCAGGUUAAUACCCCGCUGUUCUGACGGUACCCAAAGAAUAAGCACCGGCUAACUUCGUG